UACGUAGGGUGCAAGCGUUGUCCGGAAUUAUUGGGCGUAAAGAGCUCGUAGGCGGUUUGUUGCGUCGGCUGUGAAAACUCGGGGCUCAACUCCGAGCUUGCAGUCGAUACGGGCAGGCUAGAGUUCGGCAGGGGAGACUGGAAUUCCUGGUGUAGCGGUGAAAUGCGCAGAUAUCAGGAGGAACACCGGUGGCGAAGGCGGGUCUCUGGGCCGAUACUGACGCUGAGGAGCGAAAGCGUGGGGAGCGAACAGG
rnacentral:rRNA from 1 species